ACGCCGCUAAGAAGACCCAGACUUGUAAUAUUAAGUCUCCAGUUGAUGUUUGAGAAGUGGAUCUGACGACUUUUUCAUUAUUAAUUCAAUCUCAUGAAAUAUUUAUAAUUUAAUAUCAACUUUUAAUUUAGGAGAAUAAGAUUCCCGGUUGAAAAAUCGUCGUUUAU